rnacentral:lncRNA from 1 species
CCUUUGUGGAUGUCAAGGAACAAAGCAUCCCAAGUUAGAAAUCAUGCAUCCAAUGUAUCCUCCUCAUUUUCCGGAUGAGGAAGGGGAACUCCCCAAACUAAAUUACCCAAAAGGGCAUGUGAAAUAGGCAGCCAUCUGACUGUACUACCCAAAGUCUGCCCAAAUGAGGAUUUCCCUUCACCACUCUUUGAAGGCCACUCCUAGUGGAUUUUACACCCUGAAAACCCCUCCAUAAACUGGAGACUGAAAUCGAAGAAAUGGCAUUUGCUGUGUUAAUAGUUGCAUACCUGUAGCCAGUGGCUGUACUGAUUUUCUCAGUAAAUUACCACAUCUGGAACCAAAGCUACAGUUGUCAUCCUCACCUGAUUAAGUAGGUGAUAAUGUACAGUUAUUCUCCAGACUUAUCUGAGUUUUGUACAGGCCCAACAAGCUAAAUAAAUGGCCACUAUGGUAAGACCCAGGACCCCUGUCUUUCUCAGAUCUUUGAUGAUGGCCUUCUACAUGCUGGAACUGGACAAAUGAAUCAGGGUGGGUCCCACCAGACCCACUGAGAAAUUAAUUCAAUUUCUAGGGCUUGACAUCGG